rnacentral:rRNA from 1 species
UGGGGAAUCUUGCGCAAUGGGGGAAACCCUGACGCAGCAACGCCGUGUGAGUGAUGAAGGCUUUCGGGUCGUAAAGCUCUGUCAGAUGGGAAGAAUUAGUUUGCUGAAAAUAUUGGCAAAUGAUGACGGUACCAUCGAAGGAAGCACCGGCUAACUCCGUGCCAGCAGCCGCGGUAAUACGGAGGGUGCAAGCGUUGUUCGGAAUUAUUGGGCGUAAAGCGCGUGUAGGCGGAUGAAUAAGUCAGGUGUGAAAUCCCUUGACUCAAUCAAGGAACUGCACUUGAAACUAUUUGUCUCGAGUACGAUAGGGGAGGGCGGAAUUCCCAGUGUAGAGGUGAAAUUCAUAGAUAUUGGGAGGAACACCAGUGGCGAAGGCGACCCUCUGGAUCGAUACUGACGCUGAGACGCGAAAGCGUGGGUAGCAAACA